GAUGAACGCUGGCGGCGUGCCUAAUACAUGCAAGUCGAGCGAAUGGAUUGAGAGCUUGCUCUUAUGAAGUUAGCGGCGGACGGGUGAGUAACACGUGGGUAACCUGCCCAUAAGACUGGGAUAACUCCGGGAAACCGGGGCUAAUACCGGAUAACAUUUUGAACCGCAUGGUUCGAAAUUGAAAGGCGGCUUCGGCUGUCACUGCUGGAUGGACCCGCGUCGCAUUAGCUAGUUGGUGAGGUAACGGCUCACCAAGGCAACGAUGCGUAGCCGACCUGAGAGGGUGAUCGGCCACACUGGGACUGAGACACGGCCCAGACUCCUACGGGAGGCAGCAGUAGGGAAUCUUCCGCAAUGGACGAAAGUCUGACGGAGCAACGCCGCGUGAGUGAUGAAGGCUUUCGGGUCGUAAAACUCUGUUGUUAGGGAAGAACAAGUGCUAGUUGAGUAAGCUGGCACCUUGACGGUACCUAACCAGAAAGCCACGGCUAACUACGUGCCAGCAGCCGCCGUAA
rnacentral:rRNA from 1 species